rnacentral:rRNA from 1 species
UGCCAGCAGCCGCGGUAACACGUAGGGACCGAGCGUUGUCCGGAUUUAUUGGGCGUAAAGAGCUCGUAGGCGGUUUUGUAAGUCGGAUGUGAAAACUCAGAGCUCAACCCUGGGACGCCAUCCGAUGCUGCAAUGACUAGAGUCCGGUAGGGGAGCAUGGAAUUCCUGGUGUAGCGGUGGAAUGCGCAGAUAUCAGGAGGAACACCAAUGGCGAAGGCAGGGCUCUGGGCCGGUACUGACGCUGAGGAGCGCAAGCAUGGUGAGCGAACAGGAUUAGAUA